rnacentral:rRNA from 1 species
GAUGAACGCUGGCGGCGUGCCUAAUACAUGCAAGUCGAGCGAACAGACGAGGAGCUUGCUCCUCUGACGUUAGCGGCGGACGGGUGAGUAACACGUGGAUACCCUACCUAUAAGACUGGGAUAACUUCGGGAAACCGGAGCUAAUACCGGAUAAUAUAUUGAACCGCAUGGUUCAAUAGUGAAAGACGGUUUUGCUGUCACUUAUAGAUUGAUCCGCGCCGCAUUAGCUAGUUGGUAAGGUAACGGCUUACCAAGGCCACGAUGCGUAGCCGACCUGAGAGGGUGAUCGGCCACACUGGAACGGAGACACGGUCCAGAGUCCUACGGGAGGCAGCAGUAGGGAAUGUUCCGCAAUGGGCGAAAGCCUGACGGAGCAACGCCGCGUGAGUGAUGAAGGUCUUCGGAUCGUAAAACCCUGUUAUUAGGGAAGAACAAAUGUGUAAGUAAAUAUGCACGUCUUGACGGUACCUAAUCAGAAAGCCACGGCUAACUACGUG